AAUAAAAGACAGAUUAAUUUAAAAUCACUUUAAAAUAAAAACAGAUUAAUUUAAAAUGAAUAAUGCAAGCAACUGAAAAUUCUUAUAAUUGUAGCCGAAGCCUGCAUUUGAACUGAAGAAAUAAACACUCCGUAAUUCAUAACAAUAGAAAAUUGCAUAUCAGAGAUAGCCACAACCUCUUUAUGCAGAAUCUGGUCAUUCGUAUGACCAAGACAGUUGCAAUAUACAGUGGUGUGCUACCAAUUUUAGUUCAGAGAGCAUCCCAGUGGCAUUGGUUUCUGGGGCUGAGCAAGUCACUUCGGCUUGUUCAUUUCAGCAAACUUGGAUCAGGGACACACUGCACCACUUUCGGCAGCCCUGACAGAACUACCUUGAAUUUGGAAAUAUAAAUUUAUCAGUGAUAAGCCUAGCAAAAGAACAUCUCAGUUUGAACCAGUAACAAUGCCUAUGGUGGACCUGUUAGUUGAGCACAGAUAGUCAUAACAGAAAUUUCACAGCACUGACAGGGGAGAAACAUAGAACUAUUAUCAGCUAAAUACAUCUAGAAAUCCAAUUAGGUAUCUACAUAUAUAACCAAAUUUAUAAUAUUUUGGAUGACGUCAAGAAAAAAAAUGCAUACUAAGAUAAAUAUAAUUAAACAAUAGUCCUUUCAGAAAACAGAUAAAUUCAACAACAGUAAUAUUACAAUAUGUAGGGCUGAGCAAAAAACCGAUUUGAAACCGAAACCGAACCGAAACCGGGGAAAACCGGAGAAAACCGAUCCGAAUAUAACCGAUCCGAAACCGAAACCGAAAAAUAAAAAACCGAACCGAUUUAAAUGGUUCGGUUCCGGUUAUACCUUCCAACCGAACCGAUAAAAACCGAACCGAACCGAUUAUUAAAAUAAUAAUUAAAUAAUAAAUAUUAUAUAUAUUUAUUAAUAAUAAAUAUCUAAUUUAUUUCGAAUUUGAAAAUUAAAAAAGCUAUUCAAGUUAUAAGUUCACAUAAUAUACAAAAACUACAAAUUAUAAUCUCCAGACUCUCCACGUAACUUUCUCAAAGUCUUUUACAUAGAUAAUAAUAUACUCUGUGAGUUAUUACUUGCAUAUCUUGACAUAAUUAUAUCAAGCAGAGAGGUAGCCUCUAAACCUUUUUAAUUAGCUUCAUCAAGCUCAAGCUUUUAUACUCUUAUAUUUUAUUUUUCAGCUGCUUUGUUUUAGUUACUGGAACACUCUAUCCAGGACUCUGUUUCUUAGAUGUUAAUAAGGCAAUUGUCACCGGAAAAUAAAUACUCUAACACCAGACUAUGCUCACUGCUUACCAUAAUCUUUUGAACAUUAUAUAAAAUAUUAUUAUUUUAUUAAAUUCUAAUUUUAUAUUAAUUAUUAUGUCUAAAUUACGCGCAUUAAUUUGUCUCAUACAUAUAUUAUUUUUCAUUCUUAUAUUUGUCGGUUUUGUAACCGAAACCGAACCGAUUAUAACCGAACACUCAUGGCAAAGACUAACUACUUGUGGAAAAAAUUCAAGUAAUAAGCGUGUCAAGAUAUCAAUCAUGUCAUCUUGUGUAGACACGUAAUAAUUAUCAUAAAAGACACCAAAGAGAGAAUCUAUCAAGAUUAUAUGUUAGACCAUGUUUCCCUCUGUAACUAAAAUUAUAAUCAAGUUAGCGAUGAAUAAUAGGUCUCUAUGAAAAUCCUAACCAAUCAAGACUAAUCUAAGUGAUGUUUUUAUAUAAAUCUCAAUUUAAUUCUUCGUCAAUUUCAAAGUCAGCCGAAAGCACUGAAAUCAUAUAGAGAGGCAUGAAACAUAAUCUCUACAAUUCCAUACUCUACUGCAACAGAGAUGUCUGGUGGUUUAAAGAUAGGCAUAACAAAAUUCUCACAGCCCAGACAGGGAAGAAACAUACCAUAAGUAUACAUGCCACNNNN
rnacentral:lncRNA from 1 species